rnacentral:rRNA from 1 species
GACGAACGCUGGCGGCGUGCUUAACACAUGCAAGUCGAACGGAAAGGCCCUGCUUUUGUGGGGUGCUCGAGUGGCGAACGGGUGAGUAAUACGUGAGUAACCUGCCCUUGACUUUGGGAUAACUUCAGGAAACUGGGGCUAAUACCGGAUAGGAGCUCCUGCUGCAUGGUGGGGGUUGGAAAGUUUCGGCGGUUGGGGAUGGACUCGCGGCUUAUCAGCUUGUUGGUGGGGUAGUGGCUUACCAAGGCUUUGACGGGUAGCCGGCCUGAGAGGGUGACCGGCCACAUUGGGACUGAGAUACGGCCCAGACUCCUACGGGAGGCAGCAGUGGGGAAUAUUGCACAAUGGGCGGAAGCCUGAUGCAGCAACGCCGCGUGCGGGAUGACGGCCUUCGGGUUGUAAACCGCUUUCGCCUGUGACGAAGCGUGAGUGACGGUAAUGGAUAAAGAAGCACCGGCUAACUACGUG